rnacentral:sRNA from 1 species
CGAUAAAUAGGUAACAGAAUGGGAUGCAUAGCAUGCUAGCAUGCAUUAUGCAUCCCAUUAUAGUUACUGUAACGGAUAUGAGUAAAUAGCACGAUAGUGCGGUUUACGAAUGUCCGUCAGAUUGCGGGAGCAAAGCGGAGCAAUCUGUUUAUCG